UCGAGGAUCUUCGGCAAUGGGCGCAAGCCUGACCGAGCGACGCCGCGUGGAUGAUGAAGGCCUUCGGGUUGUAAAAUCCUGUCGAGGGGGAUAAAGGCGCAAGCUUGAUAUAUCCCUGGAGGAAGCACGGGCUAAGUUCGUGCCAGCAGCCGCGGUAAGACGAACCGUGCAAACGUUGUUCGGAAUCACUGGGCUUAAAGGGCGCGUAGGCGGCUUGCAUAGUCGGUGGUGAAAUCCUGCAGCUUAACUGUAGAAGUGCCUCCGAUACUAGCAAGCUCGAGGGAGGUAGGGGUCUGCGGAACUUCUGGUGGAGCGGUGAAAUGCGUUGAUAUCAGAAGGAACGCCGGUGGCGAAAGCGGCGGACUGGACCUCUUCUGACGCUGAGGCGCGAAAGCUAGGGGAGCAAACGG
rnacentral:rRNA from 1 species